rnacentral:rRNA from 1 species
CGCUGGCGGCGUGCCUAACACAUGCAAGUCGAGCGGAGAUAUAUUGAAGGUUUACCGGAUAUAUAUCUUAGCGGCGGACGGGUGAGUAACGCGUGGGCAACCUGCCUUAUACAGGGGGAUAACACAGGGAAACUUGUGCUAAUACCGCAUAAUAUCAUUGUAUGGCAUCAUACGAUGAUCAAAGGAGCAAUCCGGUAUGAGAUGGGCCCGCGUCCGAUUAGCUAGUUGGUGGGGUAACAGCUCACCAAGGCGACGAUCGGUAGCCGAACUGAGAGGUUGAUCGGCCACAUUGGGACUGAGACACGGCCCAGACUCCUACGGGAGGCAGCAGUGGGGAAUAUUGCGCAAAUGGGGGAAACCCUGACGCAGCAACGCCGCGUGAAGGAUGAAGGCCUUCGGGUUGUAAACUUCUUUGAUUGGGGAAGAAGAAAGUGACUGUACCCAAAAAACAAGCCACGGCUAACUACGUGCCAGCCGCCGC